rnacentral:rRNA from 1 species
GAUGAACGCUAGCGGCAGGCCUAAUACAUGCAAGUCGAACGGUGUCUUCGGACAUAGUGGCGCACGGGUGCGUAACACGUAUGCAACCUACCUUACAUUGGGGGAUAGCCUUUCGAAAGGGAGAUUAAUACCGCAUAAUGUCUACGGACCAAAGUGUGGGACCUUCGGGCCACAUGCUAUCGGAUGCGCCUACGUGGGAUUAGCUAGUUGGUGAGGUAAUGGCUCACCAAGGCGACGAUCCCUAGCUGGUUUGAGAGGAUGAUCAGCCACACUGGAACUGAGACACGGUCCAGACUCCUACGGGAGGCAGCAGUGGGGAAUAUUGGACAAUGGGCGCAAGCCUGAUCCAGCCAUGCCGCGUGUGUGAAGAAGGCCUUCGGGUUGUAAAGCACUUUCAGUAGGGAGGAAGCGUUGUGUGUUAAUAGUACACAGCGUUGACGUUACCUACAGAAGAAGCACCGGCUAACUCUGUGCCAGCAGCCGCCGUAAUAC